CAAUGAAGGAAGUAUGGUAAUAUGCACAGAAAUUGAAUUGGGUCUUUAGGCCUGUCUUUUCUGAUGUCAUUUGGCGAUUUGGAGGCAUGAUCGGCAACAAAAUA